rnacentral:rRNA from 1 species
UACAGAGGGUGCAAGCGUUGCUCGGAAUUAUUGGGCGUAAAGGGCAGGUAGGUGGUCUUAUUUGUCUAGGGUGAAAUCCCGGAGCUUAACUUCGGAAGUGCCUUAGAAACGGUAAGACUAGAGUCCUAGAGAGGUUUGUGGAAUUCCCGGUGUAGCGGUGAAAUGCGUAGAGAUCGGGAGGAACACCGGUGGCGAAGGCGGGUCUCUGGGCGAAUUCCUGACGCUGAGGCGCGAAAGCGUGGGGAGCGAACAGG